AGCAUAUCAUAAGCGGAGGAAAAGAAACUAACAAGGAUUCCCCUAGUAACUGCGAGUGAAGCGGGAAGAGCUCAAAUUUAAAAUCUGGCGGUCCUUUGGCCGUCCGAGUUGUAUUCUGGAGAAGUGCUUUCCGCGCUGGACCGUGUAUAAGUCUCUUGGAACAGAGCGUCAUAGAGGGUGAGAAUCCCGUCUUUGACACGGACUACCAGUGCUUUGUGAUGCGCUCUCAAAGAGUCGAGUUGUUUGGGAAUGCAGCUCAAAAUGGGUGGUAAAUUCCAUCUAAAGCUAAAUAUUGGCGAGAGACCGAUAGCGAACAAGUACCGUGAGGGAAAGAUGAAAAGCACUUUGGAAAGAGAGUUAAACAGUACGUGAAAUUGUUGAAAGGGAAACGCUUGAAGUCAGUCGCGUUAGCCGGAACUCAGCCUUGCCUUCCGCUUGGUGUAUUUUCCAGUUGACGGGCCAGCAUCGAUUUUGACCGCUGGAUAAGGGCUAGGGGAAUGUGGCACCUUCGGGUGUGUUAUAGUCUCUGGUCGUAUACAGUGGUCGGGAUCGAGGACCGCAGCCUUCGGGUUUAGGAUGCUGGCGUAAUGGCUUUAAACGACCCGUCUUGAAACACGGACCAAGGAGUCUAACAUGCCUGCGAGUGUUUGGGUGGAAAACCCGAGCGCGUAAUGAAAGUGAAAGUUGAGACCUUUGUCAUGGAGGGCAUCGACGCCCGGACCUGAUCUUCGGUGACGGAUCUGCGGUAGAGCAUGUAUGUUGGGACCCGAAAGAUGGUGAACUAUGCCUGAAUAGGGUGAAGCCAGAGGAAACUCUGGUGGAGGCUCGUAGCGAUUCUGACGUGCAAAUCGAUCGUCAAAUUUGGGUAUAGGGGCGAAAGACUAAUCGAACCAUCUAGUAGCUGGGUUCCUGCC
rnacentral:rRNA from 1 species